rnacentral:rRNA from 1 species
UAGGGAAUCUUCCGCAAUGGACGAAAGUCUGACGGAGCAAUGCCGCGUGAGUGAAGAAGGUUUUCGGAUCGUAAAACUCUGUUGUUGGAGAAGAACAAGGAUGAGAGUAACUGCUCAUCCCCUGACGGUAUCUAACCAGAAAGCCACGGCUAACUACGUGCCAGCAGCCGCGGUAAUACGUAGGUGGCAAGCGUUGUCCGGAUUUAUUGGGCGUAAAGCGAGCGCAGGCGGUUCUUUAAGUCUGAUGUGAAAGCCCCCGGCUCAACCGGGGAGGGUCAUUGGAAACUGGAGAACUUGAGUGCAGAAGAGGAGAGUGGAAUUCCAUGUGUAGCGGUGAAAUGCGUAGGUAUAUGGAGGAACACCAGUGGCGAAGGCGACUCUCUGGUCUGUAACUGACGCUGAGGCUCGAAAGCGUGGGGAGCAAACAG